rnacentral:rRNA from 1 species
GAUGAACGCUGGCGGCGUGCUUAACACAUGCAAGUCGAACGAGAAGUGAAGACGGAAACCUUCGGGCGGAAGGCUUUAUUUCGAGUGGCGGACGGGUGAGUAACGCGUGGGUAACCUGCCUCAUACAGGGGGAUAACAGUUGGAAACGACUGUUAAUACCGCAUAAGACCACAGCACCGCAUGGUGCGGGGGUAAAAACUCCGGUGGUAUGAGAUGGACCCGCGUUCGAUUAGCCAGUUGGCGGGGUAACGGCCCACCAAAGCGACGAUCGAUAGCCGAUCUGAGAGGAUGACCGGCCACAUUGGGACUGAGAAACGGCCCAAACUCCUACGGGAGGCAGGAGUGGGGAAUAUUGCACAAUGGGGGAAACCCUGAUGCAGCGACGCCGCGUGAGUGAAGAAGUAUUUCGGUAUGUAAAGCUCUAUCAGCAGGGAAGAAAAUGACGGUACCUGAGUAAGAAGCCCCGGCUAACUACGUG